rnacentral:rRNA from 1 species
GACGAACGCUGGCGGCGUGCCUAAUACAUGCAAGUAGAACGCUGAAGGAGGAGCUUGCUUCUCUGGAUGAGUUGCGAACGGGUGAGUAACGCGUAGGUAACCUGCCUGGUAGCGGGGGAUAACUAUUGGAAACGAUAGCUAAUACCGCAUAAGAGUAGAUGUUGCAUGACAUUUGCUUAAAAGGUGCAAUUGCAUCACUACCAGAUGGACCUGCGUUGUAUUAGCUAGUUGGUGAGGUAACGGCUCACCAAGGCAACGAUACAUAGCCGACCUGAGAGGGUGAGCGGCCACACUGGGACUGAGACACGGCCCAGACUCCUACGGGAGGCAGCAGUAGGGAAUCUUCGGCAAUGGACGGAAGUCUGACCGAGCAACGCCGCGUGAGUGAAGAAGGUUUUCGGAUCGUAAAGCUCGGUUGUAAGAGAAGAACGAGUGUGAGAGUGGAAAGUUCACACUGUGACGGUAUCUGACCAGAAAGGGACGGCUAACUACGUG